AAAAUGACAGACUGAGGAAAACAUGAAGAAAGAGGCAAAAACGAUUAGCUAAAUGACAAAUGACGUAAGGCAGCCUGUCAUCACUCUUUCUGUGGAUGUUCCCAGUUGUCAGGAGUUUGUGUCACAGGGAUGUCAGUUCGAGUCACAUUGCUGGCCGGAUUUCAAUAUAGUUCACUGAAGGGCAAUGUUGUCGUCAAGACGUAUGAGAAUUUGUGAAAUGUAUGCAAUAUUCAUAAAUUGUUUUCUGAUAAAUUUGAACAUUUUGCCGUUAUCGAGAAACAAUCUGAGUAAGGAAUAUUUUCAUCAGAAUACAGCAAUUGUUAUGCUGAUUGCACAUGAAAACAGCAGCAACAAUGAGAAGUAGUAGCUGAGAAAGAUGCCCAGAGGAAGAAAAAGAAGAAGAAACAGAGGGAGUAGGAAGUGAAGAGAAAGAAUAAUACAAAUACGGCAGAGAUGUGACAGCAGUAGGAUGUUGGUGGAAUCCUCUUAAAUGGUCAAGUGACCUAAA
rnacentral:lncRNA from 1 species